rnacentral:rRNA from 1 species
GAUGAACGCUGGCGGCGUGCCUAAUACAUGCAAGUCGAGCGAACGGACGAGAAGCUUGCUUCUCUGAUGUUAGCGGCGGACGGGUGAGUAACACGUGGAUAACCUACCUAUAAGACUGGGAUAACUUCGGGAAACCGGAGCUAAUACCGGAUAAUAUUUUGAACCGCAUGGUUCAAAAGUGAAAGACGGUCUUGCUGUCACUUAUAGAUGGGUCCGCGCUGCAUUAGCUAGUUGGUAAGGUAACGGCUUACCAAGGCAACGAUGCAUAGCCGACCUGAGAGGGUGAUCGGCCACACUGGAACUGAGACACGGUCCAGACUCCUACGGGAGGCAGCAGUAAGGAAUCUUCCGCAAUGGGCGAAAGCCUGACGGAGCAACGCCGCGUGAGUGAUGAAGGUCUUCGGAUCGUAAAACUCUGUUAUUAGGGAAGAACAUAUGUGUAAGUAACUGUGCACAUCUUGACGGUACCUAAUCAGAAAGCCACGGCUAACUACGUG